UACGUAGGGGGCAAGCGUUGUCCGGAUUUAUUGGGCGUAAAGAGCUCGUAGGCGGCUCGUUGCGUCGGCUGUGAAAACCCGCAGCUCAACUGUGGGCUUGCAGCUGAUACGGGCGGGCUGGGAUUCGGUAGGGGAGACUGGAAUUCCUGGUGUAGCGGUGAAAUGCGCAGAUAUCAGGAGGAACACCGGUGGCGAAGGCGGAUCUCUGGGCCUUACCUGACGCUCAGGUGCGAAAGCUAGGGGAGCGAACAGG
rnacentral:rRNA from 1 species